AUGAUAAAAGAAAAACGUUUAAAGAAUAUCCCGACAAAAAAUUGUAAAAGGACGUCGCGCGACGAGACGUUGUAGUUAGGCAUUGGCUUGUAAUCUACAGGUAUCCUAGUUAAAAAACUUUUCAAAUAGUAAAAUUUUUAAAAUGAUGUGAAUUGAACCAUCUUAGUAACAUUAAAUUAAAUCAAUAGAGAGUUUAUAAGUAGUAGCGAAUGAACAUAAAUGUAGCAAAAAAAAAUAUCAUUUUUUUAAUCCAACUUAAAAAGGUAUUUAGUCCUGUAUAAAAAGAUAUAUUUUUUUUCAAGUAAUGCGAAUUGUAUUUGCAUGAAUAAAGGAGAACCACCUUCUAGGCUAUAUAAAAUUUUUUGAUCGAUAGUGAACGAGUACCGUGAGGAAAAGAUAAAAAAUUUCGGUAGAAAUUAAAAAUUUGAAUUUAGACGUUCAAUAAUUUUUUUGGAGUUAAAAAACGACAAAGUGCCUUUUGCAUAAUGAAUCAACAAGUUAAAAAAUAAAGCAAACUAUAUAAGUGCAAAAAAGUUUUAUUUUUUAAACCUGAAGCCAAGUGAUCUAAUUGAGAACAGGUUGAAAACUUAUUAACAUAUUUUUGAAGACCGCACUCAUAUAUGUAGCAAAAUAUAGAGAUGAUUUUUAGUUAGGGGCGAAAGACCAAUCAAACUUGGCGAUAGCCGGUUUUUCACGAAACGUAUUUUAGUACUACAUUAUUUUAUGGUAAAUAAAAGGUAAAGUACUUAUUGAAUGAAGGGGUGUAAUAACUUACUAAAUUCAGUUUAACUUACAAUUUUUAUGGUUAUCAAAAUAAUAGUCAGUCUUUAAGCGAGAAGGUUUAAAGACAAAAGGAAAACAAUCCUAAUCGUAUGUUAAGAUCUUUAAAUUAUGAUUUAGUGAAAAAAGUUUUUAAGUGUUCAAAUAUGUAGGGUAGGCUUAGAAGCAGCCUUUCACUAAGAAAAGCGUUUUAGCUUAUUAUUUUUCACAAAAAACUAAAAAUGAAAGAAGACUCUAAGUCAUAUAUCGAAGCAACGAAUUAAUAUUUAAAUUAAUGGUAGUGAAACGUUCUAUUUUAUAUUACUAACGUAAGUUGGUAAUACAAAAGUAGAAGCGCUAAUGUUGAUAUGAGUAGCGUAAACUGUGUGAGAAACGCAGUCACUUUAAGUUAAAGGUUUUCAACGUAAUUUUAUAUACGUUGAGUUAGACGGUCCUUAAAAAAAGAGUUAAAACUAUAUUUGACAGGAAACUUUUACUAAUUAUAUAUAGACGAGUAAAAAAAAAAUAGAUGUUUUUUUUUCAAAAGGUAAAAAAAAAAAUUCUAUUAUUUUUCUAGAAAAAAUUAUAAUUUAAAACCGUACUUAAACCGACGCUGGUAGACUUUUAAAGUGGAUGAACAAAUUAUAUUGAAGGAACUCGGCAAAUUUACUCUAUAUGUUCGCUAAAAAGAGAGCUAAUAAAAAUUUUAUUAGUAGCAUUAAAAAAGAAGUAACGACUGGUUAACAAAACCACAGGACUCUGCCAAUUGUAAUUAAAAUGUAUAGAGUCUGAUGUCUGCCCAGUGCUUAAAGGUGAUAAGUUUAGGUUUCAAGCUUAAAUUUUAAACUUAAGUAAACGGCGGUUCUAACUAUAAGAAUCCUUAGGUAGCGAAAUUCCUUGACGGGUAAAUUCCGUCCUGCAUGAACGACGUAACGAUUACUUCACUGUCUCCAAUAUAAAUUCAGCGAAAUUACAUGAUCCAUGAAAAUGUGGAUUUUCUACAGUAAGACGGAAAGACCCUAGAUCCUUUACUCUAUUUUUAUAUUGUAAAACUGCGAAAAAAAUAUAGAAUAAGUGGUAGAAAUUACUCACAUCAUUUCAAAAAUUGAAAUACCACUUUUUUUUCAAUUUUUACUAAUUUAAUAAGUUUUUGUUAAAGACGUUAUAAAAAGGGGAGUUUACUUGGGAUGAGUACCUCCUAAAAUGUAACGGAGGUGUACAAAGGUAGGUUACGGUUAUUUAUUUAAAUAAUUAAGCGCAUAAUGGCGAACAUCUGCUUAACUAUAAGACUGAUAAGUCAAUUAGAAACGAAAGUUUGUCAUAGUGAUCCGAUAUUUAUGUGUGGAAAUAAUAUCGCUUAACGGUUAAAAGGAACUCUAGGGAUAACAGAUUUAUCGUGGUUAAGAGUUCUUAUUGAUGCCACGGUUUGAUACCUCGAUGUCGACUCAUCUUAUCCUGAAACUGAAGCAGGUUUCAAGGGUCUAGUUGUUCGCUAGUUAAAAAGGUACGUGAGUUGGGUUCAGAACGUCGUGAGACAGUUCGGUCCCUAUCUACUGUAGAAUAGAAAAAAAUAAAGAAGUGUUUUUAGUACGAGAGGACCAAAACAGCUUAACCACUAGUGUAUUGAUUAUUAAACCUCUAGUACAGUCAAGUAGCUACGUUAAGAACUUUUAGAUGUUGAAUGAAUCAAUAUAUUAAAUUCCCUUUAAAUUUUUCGAGAGUUUUCUAGAAGAAUACUAGAUAGAUCGUCUUAAGGUAAAAAUUUUAGCAAUAAAAAAAUAAUUUAUAAGAACGAAUCAAACCAAAAGACAAA
rnacentral:rRNA from 1 species